CUGUUUCUGCUUGGAUCUCCUUCAGUUUUGUGUCACUAACUGGUAAGUUGCUGUACACAGUGUGCACUUGCAUGUCCAUGCCUUCACUGAGGCUGCUGUCCUUAUAGGUAAGAAACUUCCUGGAGAGUGUGUCUGCGACAGGGAUGUCUUUGCCUGGACGGUGAGUGAUUGUGAAGUCGUAUUUUUGUAGUUGAAGGAUCAUUCUCUGUAGCCUUGGCUACACUAGCUGCGGCUAGUGGUUUCCUCAUGAUUGACUCAAGGGGCUUGUGGUCGGAUUCCACAAUGACUUGUCGUCCAUAUAUGUACUGAUGGAAACGUUUACAUCCGAACAGAAUGGCGUAGAGCUCCUUUUCAAUUUGAGCGUAGUUGAUUUCACAGUCUGUGAGAGAUUUGGAAGCGUAGCCGAUGGGCUUUCCUUCUUGCAGUAGCACUGCACCUAGUCCAUACUUCGACGCGUCCACUCUUCGGGGUCGUAGUAGGCAAGGAUUGGUCCUGGUUCUCUCGUGAUCAAGUCUUUCACAUUCUGGAAAGCAAUGUCGUGUUGCUUGUCCCAGAGAAACUCACUGGACUGCUUUAGCAGUUGACGCAGGGGUGCAUUAGCAUUGGAGAGGCUGGGUGCGAACUUGGCUAAGUAGUUGACCAUGCCAAGCACUGUUUCCAGCUCUGCACGGUUCUUUGGUGGCUCCAUUUAUUUUUUGGCUAAGAUCUUCUGUGGAUCUGGCUUGAUUCCAGUCGCUGUAAGAAGAUGUCCGAAGUAGCUGACCUCUGUAGCGCCGACUGUGCUCUUCUCGGGGUUGAGCCGGACUCCUCUCUCGCGGGACCUUUGCAGCAUCGCGCGGAGGUUUCGGUCGUGCUCCUCUUUGGUUCGACCAUCGACAAGGAUGUCGUCCACAAUUGCCACAACUCCGUCGAGGCCUUCGUACACUUCGUCGAUCUUUCGCUGAAACUCGUCUUGGGCUGAGAUAAUCCCAAAAGGCAGGCGACGGAACCUGUAGCAUCCAAACGGUGUGUUGAAUGUUGUGAGCUUAGAUGACUCUUCUGUGAGCUUGAUAGCCUAGUAGCCUGAUCUAGCGUCCAUGACACUGAAGUAGUGUGCUCCCGCUAGCUUGUGUGUGAUGCCAUCUAGCGUCGGUAACGGUAAAGGAUAAUGGGGGCGUUUGAUAGCCUUGCUCAAGUCUCUUGGGUCGAGACAUACUCUGAGCUUGCCUGUGCGUGGUUUCUCCACCACCACUAAGGCGUUUACCCAGUCAGUCGGUUCUGUAACCUUGGUGACUAUGUCAGAUUGCUCCAUGCUCUCCAACUCUUUCUUCAGACAGGCACGGAGAGCAAGCGGAAUCUUUCUCGGUGGGUAGACCACAGGGGUUGCGUCUGGGUCAAGGUGAAUGGUACAUUCUCCUGGGAAUAAUCCUAUUCCUGUAAAAACAUCAGCAAACUCCUCCAGUACAUUGUCUGUCUCUACUGGUGCUGUCACUGAUAAAACUAGCUUGAUGAAAUCCAUGUCUAAACAUGCUUUAAGACCUAGCACUGCAGGUGCUCUAGUGUCAACAACAUAAAAGUCCAACAUCAUGUCACUUUCCUUGUAUUUGCAUUUGAAGGUGCAUGUGCCUUUUACUGGGAGCUGUUCACCACCAUAACCAGUCAGUCUGCGGGUGGUGGGCUGUAGCUCGCACUCAGAUGUCAAGCUGGGUACUUAUUCAGAGGAAUAAUGUUUACUUGUGCACCAGUGUCUAGUUUGAACUUUAGCUUUGUGCCUUGUGUUCCUAUCUCAAUGUCAGCAAAGGCUUGCUCUGUCUCUGAUAUUUGACUUUUCUGUGUCACUGAAUCAAUAAACAGUUCAUCAGCGUUUGACUCUUUGAUUGACAUUUCAUCUUCACUCACUGUGUGUACCGUUUUUCCACGGUAAGCUCUGCACACUUUUGCAAAGUGAUUCCAUUUUCCACAUUUAGUACACUGUUUGCCUUUAGAUGGGCAAUUUCCUUGUUCGCCAUGCACUUUGUAUCCACAAUAUCCACAUGUUUUGAGUCUGUGUCGCUCUGUUUUGGAGUUAUGUCUCUCUCCGUUCUAAAACGCGCUCUCUGCGCACCGGAGGUGUGCUUUGAUGUCUGCCUGACUGCGUGCACUGCUUGUUCACGUGAUGCGCUCGUGCUGACGCGCGAAAUGGUUUUCAUCUGAGCCUGUGCUAGCUCGUGAGAUCUGGCUAUGUCGAUAGCUUUGUCCAGCGUUACCUCAGACCCAACAUUCAAAAGUUUCUCUCUCACUCGCGGUGAGUGUAUUUCAAAUACAAUACGGUCCCUGGCCAUCUCAUCCUUGUUUGCAUAAUCACAGUCUUUCACAAGCAGACGCAGCUCAGUCACAAACUGUUCAAAAGACUCGCUAGCUCCCUGUACUUUCUCAUGGAAUUUGUACCUAGCGAAUAUCGUAUUGGUCUUCGGCACAACAUAUGCUUCAAAACGAUCGUAGUAUCGUAUGAUUCAGCCUCGGUAAGUGUCCAUGUGUUGUAAAUAUCUCUCCCUUUUUCACCGAUCCAGAGGAGUAGGUAGCUGCACUUUCCCUCUUCUCCUUUGUCCCUCAGAGGACCCGUGAACAUCAGCUCCACAUGCUGUUUGAACUUACGCCAUGCAUCAGGGAAGCCAGAGUGAUCAGAUAAUCCAGUUGCCUGGUCAGGUGUUCAGCUCUGCCCUGCAGGACUGGGAGCUGUCCCAAGGGUGCACUGGGGAGCCUGAUUCCACCCCACCUCCAUACUGCAGGGGCUUCUUUGAUGCCAUCACCAUGGACCAAGAUUGUACCAACCUAGUAUUCUGUGGGAGGCUGUUCUGGACUGUGUCUCCCGCAGGCCAGGCCAGCUCCCCUCUACCUCUGCAGAACCGCUGGCCAGGACUACCCCUCACCAUUUAGGCAGCUGCUUACUCAAAGAUGGACAAUAAGUUAUACUUUUUCAAAGGCAGGCGAGUGUGGUGUUACUCCGGCAGCGAUGUGGACCCAGGCUUCCCCCUGAGGAGCAGCGAGCUAGGCCUCCCUGGACACCCUGACCAGGCCUUCACCUACCCCCACCUGGGCCACCUGGUGGUGUUUAAAGGCCAGCGUUACUUUGUGCUUAACUUUGGGACCCUGAGGCCCGACUCAUACUACCCCGCAGCCUGGAAGACAGAGGGCCAACGGAGCCCUCAACCACUCUGAUGGACAGGUAUACUUCUUCAAGGAGCAGCAGUACUGGAGCUUUGAUCCAGAGAAGGUGCAGGUGACUGGAGGGGGGAGGUGGGACACAAAGCUGGAAUGGACAGGCUGUCUUGGAACUCACCACAGAGGCAAUGAUAUACUGUGACCACAAGAUGGCGAUAACUAACUGAUUCAAGUUUUUGGUCAGGGUAAUGUGCAAUGGAUAUACUCAGACUAAGCAAUGACAGAAGUCAAGGGAUUUGUUUAUGUUCCCAUAUUUUUUAUGUUUAUACAGUAUUAUUAAAUUAAUAUUAAUAUUCCUACAUCCUACAGUGAUCCAAUGUUUUUGUUUGUAAUGUGCUUGUUUUGUUCUAGACCGUAUUAAGAUAUUCUGUAUGAGUCAUGGCCCAUCUGUGGGCUGUACAUUUUAUUAGGAUCUCUUUUAGUCCUCAUUUGGACUAAUCUUCCAAGAGUCCUUAAACAUUAAAAUACAAUUUAUAAUUUAUAAUACGACCACAUUUUCACAUAUUGACCGAUAAACAGUCUAAAAAUAUAUAUUGAUUCUUCAUCUACCAUAGUCCAGCACAACUUUCCUACGUAUUGUUUUAAAGUAUUGUUUGAAUUUAUAUAUUGAAAGGUUUCUGGUUUGCUCAGAUAAAUUAUUAAAUUUCUUUAUUGCUCUAAAUCGAAAUCAUUCUUUUGCCUAUUUCUCUUUUCUGCCUGGAUAACACAUGCAGUAGAAUGUGAAAAAUCUAUUCCUAGUAUUUACUGAAUGUCUGUCUCUUACCAACUUAAUAAUGCUGUGAAUAGAGUUUGGACGUUUUAAAUUGUGUAUAUUAUGAAAUAAAA